rnacentral:misc_RNA from 1 species
UCGGAAGGUGCGGCUGGAUCACCUCCUUUCUAGGGAGACAUACACCGAGCCAAGAGCUUGGAUGUCACUUAGGUCGACACUUUGGCGAGUAAGUAGACGUAGCAUAAGCGCUAGCUGUACUUACAUACUUAUCAUUGUUUGGUUUUGAGAGAUCUGUAAAGACUCUCAGAUGGUUUAAUACCAUUUACAAUUUAAUAGAUUUCGAUGGCUAUCUAGGCGCAUGAGAUGAACGACGUCGCCGCGUAAUGGUAAUUACGCAAGACAAGUGAAGCGAAUGCAACGACGAUAGACGCGAAAUAUAUGAAUUGUUUGUUCUUUGAAAACUGCAUAGAAGAUAAUUAUAUAUAUUUGUAAGGUCAUCUCUUAGAAUUUCUAAGUAGGUUGACCCGAGCACAUAGGAAAUAAUUCUCUGACUUAAUGGUGACGUACAUGUAAAAUGUACGGCUACAAAAAACGACAAUGUAUCUAAUGCAUGUCAAUAUUAUCUCUCAUGUAUUCAAUCAUGAGAUUUUCGUUAGCAUUUGAUGCAUAUCUAGGAGCCUGAGCGAGAUGAAGCCGCCGCGUACUAUUGUACGUAAGGCAAAAUCGAGCGUGAGGCGACGACGAUAGGCGCAAAUGAUAACGCAAAAUAAGUAAAGAUAAUAAGGGCGUACGGUGGAUGCCUUGGCGAUAUCAGCCGAAGAAGGACGCGGUAAGCUGCGAUAAGCUACGGAGAGGUGCAAGCAACCUGUGACCCGUAG